UUAAUUCAAAAAGUUUAAUAUUUGAUAUUUAAAUUUUCAAACAAAAAUACAAUCUUAGAGAAAACAAAUGAAAUUAAAUAAAAAAUAAAACUUCUCUCGAGUCAAUAAUCUAAUUUCUUCUAAAGAAAUUCUAUUCCAUAAUAGAUCUUCUCCCUUUACACUUUCAGCAUGUCGUCAAUAAAAAAUCAUUUUCCCCACAUAGACUGUAUCACAUAGUAAUCACUUUGGGCCAAUGUGUGAUUGCGAUUAUAACCUCUAGAUUAGAAAUUCGCCGCGAACAAGAAUUUCACGACCGUUGUACACCACACAUGUGUAUUACACGCACCGCCGACGAUACUAGCUGUGGCAACGAUGGAAAACGGUGAUCGCAACAGCGGCACGCAAAGUGAGCCGACAAAGGCGUCUUAUCGCGGUUAAUUUAUAUUUCAAAAGGUUACUGGUACCAUCGAAAGAACGUAGAAACUCUCUCGGCGUUAUUCCACAAGAAAUUCUAUCUGUCGAAAGAUUUAUCAAUGCAUCCAAGAUGAUUUUGAGAAUUUUUCUUAUUAUUAAUUUUUUUCAUGAUAGUGUAUACAAGAUGGCGGACACCAUCUGUAAGCGCGGGAAAUUUGAUUUUUAUAGAAGCGUUCAAUAUGAAAAUUUUUGAACAGAUCCAAUCUUGAUAUUCAAUUCCAUCGAACACAAAAUAUCGUGGUGAAACAUGUGCAACGUAUUAACGUUCUUAGGUUAAUCGAUCUCGGUGGAAGAUCGAGGCAAUUAACGCCAGUAUCGCCAAUCGAUGAUGAACAUUCGUCAUCCGAAGACCGGUUUCUAUCGGGUGAUUCACCAUCAUGGAUUCUAUAAAAUCCCACCAACAAUGUUCCUGUCAUGGAUUUUCUUUUACUUUUAUCACCUUUUUUUAAGUCUCGAAGGAUGACCGAAUGCUCAUUAAUAGUAUCCUAGCGAUCCACGCACCGCCAUUUUCUCAAUCAACAAUCGAGAUCAACCUCGAAGCCUUCCCUAACCUCAAACAUCGAUCAAUUCUCGUCAACGUUCCCGCAAAAGGGAACGCAACGCAUGGCACGACUUUUACAAAGUAGGGAUAAGUUCACCACACGCGGAUACACUCUCCACCACGACACUAUUCAAUUUCUCAUUCAGGAUAUCAUGCAUCAUCUUUUGAGCUUAAAAAUUAUCUCUUCGAUCUUCCAGGAUUUCCGUGGCAUGGCGUCUUGCACAAUCUUCUCGAAUCGUCAUAAAUCAUGUCGACGGAUUGCGUGGGCGGCUAUGGAACACGCUCUAACCCCCUUCCAAGUGAUGCAUAGUAACAUUUUACAGGAUUUUUACGCACCGUCACAAUUCAUCCGUUAAUGACACCGACACUGGUAAAAGUAUUAUAAUUAUAAUUAUAAUUAUUAUUACU
rnacentral:lncRNA from 1 species